CACUACCUUUGUCAACUUUCUCCUGACAUGAACUGAAGCUACGUCUCAUGUGCCCACUCAUUCACUGGCACAUUGAAUGUUUCCCCUCCAAGCACUUCAAAUCCUGUCCUGCACUGGUCAAGCCUCUGAACACCUCAACUCAUUCCUCAUACUCUCAUUCAAUCACUGCUGUGAUCCCUUUCCCACACGGUCCGUUACAGAACUACCCACCACAAACGGACCAAGCAGCGGAGGAAGGAGCGACAACAGGUGGACAAUAGGAAGCACCGCGCUCGGGAGGAGAUGGCAUCCUGGUCGCUGGAGGUGUUGGAGUCAAGGAUUGACUGGACAUGGGAACAAUUAUUGGACCACUGUGACAACCUGCCUGGGAGGCAGGUAGAGCACGAGAGGCACCCCCAAUACAUUUUUUUGGGGGGAGCACACGGGUAGUUUGGCUGGGCCAAGGGUGAGCCCUAAGCCAGCUACCCGUGCUUAUAUGGAGGAGUGUAUGGAGUGGAGGGCGCCGAGUUAUG
rnacentral:lncRNA from 1 species